AGAGUUUGAUCCUGGCUCAGGAUGAACGCUGGCGGCGUGCCUAAUACAUGCAAGUCGAGCGGUAAGGCUUUCACUCUGUAUUAAUGAGUUGAAUAUAGUGUGAAAGUACACGAGCGGCGGACGGCUGAGUAACGCGUAGGAACGUACCCCAAAGUGAGGGAUAAGCACCGGAAACGGUGUCUAAUACCGCAUGUGAUCUUCGGAUUAAAGCUUUAUGCGCUUUGGGAGCGGCCUGCGUAAGAUUAGUUUGUUGGUGAGGUAAUGGCUCACCAAGACUACGAUCUUUAGCUGGUCUGAGAGGAUGAUCAGCCAGACUGGACUGAGACACGGCCCAGACUCCUACGGGAGGCAGCAGUAGGGAAUUUCCACAAUGGACGAAAGUCUGAUGGAGCAACGCCGCGUGCAGGAUGAAGGCCUUCGGGUUGUAAACUGCUUUUAUCUGUGACGAUUAUGACGGUAGCAGAUGAAUAAGGAUCGGCUAACUCCGUG
rnacentral:rRNA from 1 species